rnacentral:lncRNA from 1 species
GUAUACUCAUACCGCACCACUUCGUUGGGUUUACCAAUUCUGACCUUCCACCCUUCCUAAGCAAACUUACUAAUUCUUGUACUAUAUAUAAUCUCUUUACAACUUUCGUUUUGCUCAUUUGAGUUUCUUGAUUUACACACAUAACCACAAUAAUUUCUAGAUGGCCUCGCAUGGUAGCAUGGCGAUUUCCACCACCUCCCCGAAAGGCGGCGAAACCAUGGCCGCGUCAAGCUCACCAAAGGCUGGUGGCCAAUGCUUGUGUUCACCGACAACCCAUGAAGGUUCUUUCAGGUGCAGAUUUCAUAGGUCAAGGUCACUUAUGAAACGUUCAAACUCUAUGCCUACUAAUAAAUCUGUAAAUUCUCUUUCUCCCAAGUCAGUCGAGUCUACUAAUUAAUUAUCAUGACAGUGGUGGUCUGUGUGUGUGUCUAUAUAUAUAUAUAUAUACAGCAACUCCUUUUUAUGUUCCUUAACUCUGUGAAGAACAUAAGACAUGAAAGCAAGAGUUUUUGUGUAAAGGAUCUUUGUCAAGAUUGCUGAUUUCGGAUGUUAUGUGGUAUAAGAUUAAUGGGUUUUCCGUUACAUGUUAUUUUAUUUCUAUAUUUUAUGUUGGCUGUUUUGGUAAGAAUCAGUACUCUCCAUCUCUAUCAAAGGUAAGCAGAGAGGACAUAAUAUCGGAGGCUACUCCCAAGAACUGAAAUUUUUUGGAGGUUAUACCUGAGGAGUUUGGUGAUGAAGAAAAUGGAUUCUUGAUCUAUCCAAAGAGAGGGAAAAAGAUAAUUAAGAAGUAAUUACUGUUUUUCUUUUCUUAAAAUAAAAAUCAAAGAGAUGAUAACUCAAGUGUACAUGUUAUGAAUGAUUAAUUACUUACUGCAGCAGAUAGCUGGAGUGAUUUUGGGGACAGUUAACCAAAAAGCUAUAUUGUUUUAGUUGUGAUGUUUGGUGUAACAGGAUUAUCAUUGCCUUGUAAUGAUUAAUCAACACUUUAAGAGAUCGGUGUGUCUAAUAAUACUAAUAUCUUUCCUAUUUAUUACACUUAAUCGAAUAUCUUAAAUAUUUUCAAUUGUAUAAUUCAUUGAAAUGAAAAUCAACUAACUAGAUUGAUUUAAGAUUCUGUUAAUCAAACACAUAGUGGGGUUCAACAGUAAUCAACCAUAAUUGGUUUGUUACUGGAUAAUUAUCCAGAAAAUGGAUCGGGUAUUUUGAUUGAUUUUUUUUCUCUGCCUUAAUUCUGACCCACUCAAUUUUAUGUCAUGAAAUUUGACUUGUGCUACCUUCCAUAUCUCUAAUUUCUUCUGGACCAUAACAGAAUAUUGAUGAGAUAUGUUCUGAGUGGCCUACAAUAAUCAAGAUUGUUAUCUUUUGUUUAAAUUUUAAUUUAUAUAAAAUAGAUCAAGAAAACAU